UACGUAUGUGGCAAGCGUUAUCCGGAAUUAUUGGGCGUAAAGAGUGCGUAGGUGGUUACCUAAGCGCAAGGUUUAAUCUUGAGGCUCAACCUCAUUCUGCCUUGCUAACUGGGCUACUUGAGUGCAGGAGGGGAAAGCGGAAUUCCCAGUGUAGCGGUGAAAUGCGUAGAUAUUGGGAAGAACACCGGUGGCGAAGGCGGCUUUCUGGACUGUAACUGACACUGAGGCACGAAAGCGUGGGGAGCAAACAGGAUUAGAUACCCCCGUAGUCCCUGA
rnacentral:rRNA from 1 species